rnacentral:rRNA from 1 species
UACGUAGGUGGCAAGCGUUGUCCGGAUUUACUGGGCGUAAAGAGCGCGCAGGCGGUCGUUCAAGUCGCGUGUGAAAGCCCCCGGCUCAACUGGGGAGGGUCACGCGAUACUGAUCGACUCGAAGGCAGGAGAGGGUAGUGGAAUUCCCGGUGUAGUGGUGAAAUGCGUAGAUAUCAGGAGGAACACCGAUGGCGAAGGCAGCUCGCUGGGACGGUACUGACGCUGAGACGCGAAAGCGUGGGGAGCAAACAGG